GGCGAUCAGAUACCGCCCUAGUUCUGACCGUAAACGAUGCCAACUAGCGAUCCGCCGAUGGAAAUUAUAUUGCCUUGGUGGGGAGCUUCCCGGAAACGAAAGUCUUCCGGUUCCGGGGGAAGUAUGGUUGCAAAGCUGAAACUUAAAGGAAUUGACGGAAGGGCACCACCAGGAGUGGAGCCUGCGGCUUAAUUUGACUCAACACGGGGAAACUCACCCGGCCCGGACACUGUGAGGAUUGACAGAUUGAUAGCUUUUUCAUGAUUCAGUGGAUGGUGGUGCAUGGCCGUUCUUAGUUCGUGGAGUGAUUUGUCUGGUUUAUUCCGAUAACGAGCGAGACUCUAACCUACUAAAUAGUUGGUACAUACUCUUAGUGUAUACAGCUUCUUAGAGGGAUUUGCGGCGUUCAGCCGAAAGAAAUUGAGCAAUAACAGGUCUGUGAUGCCCUUAGAUGUCCGGGGCUGCACGCGCGCUACACUGGCAAAAUCAACGUGCUUGUCCUACCCUGAAAGGGGCGGGUAAACCAUUGAAAAUUUGCCGUGAUUGGGAUCGGAAAUUGCAAUUAUUUUCCGUGAACGAGGAAUUCCAAGUAAGUGCGAGUCAUCAGCUCGCGUUGAUUACGUCCCUGCCCUUUGUA
rnacentral:rRNA from 5 species